UAGACCCAUUGCAGCAAUGCUAUUCUGUGGCCCAACUGGAGUUUGGAAGACUGAAGGACCCAGAUUGAGCUUGCAAAAAUGUUGUUGGCGGAGGGACAAAGUCAUCUUUUGGUACAUUGGCCUGAACAAGGUGUUGAUGAUGAAGAAAAGAAAAGUUUCUUUGAUCAGGUAACUCGGCUUAAUUCAAGCUAUCUAGGUGGUUUGGCAUCAUAUAUUCGAAAUGCUAGGAAUCUAUUAGCAAAUUCAAAAGCAGGGAAAAAUCCAUUUAAUGGCUUUACUCCUUCGGUAAGUGAA